rnacentral:rRNA from 1 species
AGAGCGAACGCUGGCGGCAGGCCUAAUACAUGCAAGUCGAACGGAUCCUUCGGGAUUAGUGGCGGACGGGUGAGUAACACGUGGGAACGUGCCUUUUGGUUCGGAACAACUCAGGGAAACUUGAGCUAAUACCGAAUGUGCCCUUCGGGGGAAAGAUUUAUCGCCAUUAGAGCGGCCCGCGCCUGAUUAGCUAGUUGGUGGGGUAAUGGCCCACCAAGGCUACGAUCAGUAGCUGGUCUGAGAGGAUGAUCAGCCACACUGGGACUGAGACACGGCCCAGACUCCUACGGGAGGCAGCAGUAGGGAAUCUGCGCAAUGGGCGAAAGCCUGACGCAGCCAUGCCGCGUGAAUGAUGAAGGUCUUAGGAUUGUAAAAUUCUUUCAGCGGGGACGAUAAUGACGGUACCCGCAGAAGAAGCCCCGGCUAACUUCGUGCCAGCAGCCGC